UUCAAGGUCACAUGGGGAGUUACUAGAAUACUGGAAUAUGAACCCAAGGUCCAUCAGCCUUCAUGCUUCAAUCUUCUCUGCUCUGAACUGGGAAACAGUAAGAACUGACACACACCAUCCUUACCUGGAGCCCAGUACUGCUCUCAGCAAGCCACAUACUUUAACUCAAUUCUGACAAGGCAGUUCGGUGGCUAGGAGAAGGUUCCCCUGCACCUCUUCACUUUUAGAGGUUUGGAUCUGCAAACGAGACAGGAUGCUUCCUGGACCAAUCACACUGGCACCACUGGGGAGUUUUCUACAGAUGCAGAACCUUAA